GUGGGGAAUUUUGGACAAUGGGCGAAAGCCUGAUCCAGCAAUGCCGCGUGUGUGAAGAAGGCCUUCGGGUUGUAAAGCACUUUUGUCCGGAAAGAAAUCCUUUGGGUUAAUACCUCGGAGGGAUGACGGUACCGGAAGAAUAAGGACCGGCUAACUACGUGCCAGCAGCCGCGGUAAUACGUAGGGUCCGAGCGUUAAUCGGAAUUACUGGGCGUAAAGCGUGCGCAGGCGGUUUUGUAAGACAGAUGUGAAAUCCCCGGGCUUAACCUGGGAAUUGCAUUUGUGACUGCAAGGCUAGAGUGUGGCAGAGGGGGGUAGAAUUCCACGUGUAGCAGUGAAAUGCGUAGAGAUGUGGAGGAAUACCGAUGGCGAAGGCAGCCCCCUGGGAUAACACUGACGCUCAUGCACGAAAGCGUGGGGAGCAAACAGGAUUAGAAACCCUAGUAGUCC
rnacentral:rRNA from 1 species